AGCAGUAAGGGANAUUGGUCAAUGGGGGAAACCCUGAACCAGCAACGCCGCGUGAGGGAAGACGGUUUUCGGAUUGUAAACCUCUGUCCUCUGUGAAGAUGAUGACGGUAGCAGAGGAGGAAGCUCCGGCUAACUACGUGCC
rnacentral:rRNA from 1 species